rnacentral:lncRNA from 1 species
CUUUUUGAAGCCAAGCACCCAGGAGACCGCCUGUGGGUGAGCUUGAAUGGGAUUGCUGGGAGGUCGAUCCUCUCCAUCUUCCAGCAGUCCUAUAAAGACUGGAAGGGAAAGUUCGUCCAAGUGCGCCCCAACGACAAGGACACUUCCCUACUCGACGGCUUCCCCUUGUACUGGGUAAACAAGGGGAGCAAAGAGUCCAAGAGCUGCUUCAGGAGACCCAGAAGUCC